rnacentral:rRNA from 1 species
UUCGACCUCAAAUCAGGUAGGACUACCCGCUGAACUUAAGCAUAUCAAUAAGCGGAGGAAAAGAAACCAACAGGGAUUGCCUUAGNAGCGGCGAGUGAAGCGGCAAAAGCUCAAAUUUGAAAUCUGGCACUUUCAGUGUCCGAGUUGUAAUUUGAAGAAGGUAUCUUUGGGUCUGGCUCUUGUCUAUGUUUCUUGGAACAGAACGUCACAGAGGGUGAGAAUCCCGUGCGAUGAGAUGUCCCAGACCUAUGUAAAGUUCCUUCGAAGAGUCGAGUUGUUUGGGAAUGCAGCUCUAAGUGGGUGGUAAAUUCCAUCUAAAGCUAAAUAUUGGCGAGAGACCGAUAGCGAACAAGUACAGUGAUGGAAAGAUGAAAAGAACUUUGAAAGAGAGUG